rnacentral:rRNA from 1 species
ACACCGGCGGCCCGAGUGGUGAUCGUGAUUAUUGGGUCUAAAGGGUCCGUAGCCGGUUUGGUCAGUCCUCAGGGAAAUCUGAUAGCUCAACUAUUAGGCUUUCGGGGGAUACUGCCAGACUUGGAACCGGGAGAGGUAAGAGGUACUACAGGGGUAGGAGUGAAAUCUUGUAAUCCCUGUGGGACCACCUGUGGCGAAGGCGUCUUACCAGAACGGGUUCGACGGUGAGGGACGAAAGCUGGGGGCACGAACCGGAUUAGAUACCCGGGUAGUCCCAGCCGUAAACGAUGCUCGCUAGGUGUCAGGCAUGGCGCGACCGUGUCUGGUGCCGCAGGGAAGCCGUGAAGCGAGCCACCUGGGAAGUACGGCCGCAAGGCUGAAACUUAAAUGAAUUGGCGGGG